AGAAGUGGAAGUGUGGUGACACAUGUAGCGGACUAAUACUAAUAGCUCGAGGACUUAUCCA
rnacentral:rRNA from 1 species